rnacentral:tRNA from 1 species
AGGGUUGUAGUUAAAUAUAACAUUUAAGUUGCAUUUAAAAAUUAUUGAAUAUUCAAUCUACCUUG